CGGACCGGAGCGUCCCUCUCCGCGGAACCGACGACACUCCCCGGUUGCCAAGGGAGAUCACGUGACGGGGCUGGUUUCCUCUUUCAAAGCCCUGGAGCCGCGGGCACGCGGAGCUCGCGCACGCGUGGAACACCUUGACUCAGAAUCAUCGAACACCUGAGGAACUGCGAUUCACAGACUAACUUCACCGCCGUGAAAGCAGAGAGGCCAGAAUGGCGGCAGGAAGGAGCCUCAGACCCCUGCAGGUCCUCUGUGGCCCUCUUGUGGUGGAGAUGAGAACUACAUGUUCACCAGGAUUUGAUUUCUUCUCUAAAACAUAAGAAAUCUAAGAUAACCAUGAAAACAUUUGAAGUU